rnacentral:ncRNA from 1 species
CGGGGAUUCAGCAGCCUCCCGCCUCACAGACGCCCCCGCGUCCAAGGUCUGC